GCCCAAGUAGCUCAGUCGGUAGAGCGCGUCCUUGGUAAGGACGAGGUCAGCAGUUCAAUCCUGCUCUUGGGCUCCA
rnacentral:tRNA from 1 species